AGAGUUUGAUCCUGGCUCAGGACGAACGCUGGCGGCGUGCUUAACACAUGCAAGUCGAACGGAAAGGCCCUGCUUUUGUGGGGUGCUCGAGUGGCGAACGGGUGAGUAACACGUGAGUAACCUGCCCUUGACUUUGGGAUAACUUCAGGAAACUGGGGCUAAUACCGGAUAGGAGCUCCUGCUGCAUGGUGGGGGUUGGAAAGUUUCGGCGGUUGGGGAUGGACUCGCGGCUUAUCAGCUUGUUGGUGGGGUAGUGGCUUACCAAGGCUUUGACGGGUAGCCGGCCUGAGAGGGUGACCGGCCACAUUGGGACUGAGAUACGGCCCAGACUCCUACGGGAGGCAGCAGUGGGGAAUAUUGCACAAUGGGCGGAAGCCUGAUGCAGCAACGCCGCGUGCGGGAUGACGGCCUUCGGGUUGUAAACCGCUUUCGCCUGUGACGAAGCGUGAGUGACGGUAAUGGGUAAAGAAGCACCGGCUAACUACGCG
rnacentral:rRNA from 1 species